rnacentral:rRNA from 1 species
CAUGACUCUCGGCAACGGAUAUCUUGGCUCUCGCAUCGAUGAAAAACGCAGCGAAAUGCGAUACCUGGUGUGAAUUGCAGAAUCCCGUGAACCAUCGAGUCUUUGAACGCAAGUUGCGCCCGAGGCUAUCUGGUCGAGGGCACGCCUGCCUGGGCGUCACGCCU